rnacentral:rRNA from 1 species
UACGUAGGGGGCAAGCGUUGUCCGGAAUCACUGGGCGUAAAGGGCGCGUAGGCGGCCUGAUAAGUAGGGGGUGAAAUCCUGCGGCUUAACCGCAGGGCUGCCUUCUAAACUGUCAGGCUCGAGCACAGUAGAGGCAGGUGGAAUUCCCGGUGUAGCGGUGGAAUGCGUAGAGAUCGGGAAGAACAUCAGUGGCGAAGGCGGCCUGCUGGGCUGUUGCUGACGCUGAGGCGCGACAGCGUGGGGAGCAAACAGG